rnacentral:sRNA from 1 species
GCCGGGCACAGUGGUGCAUGCCUGUAAUCCCAGCAGCUUGGAGGCUGAGGCAGGAGGAUUGGGAGUUCAAAGCCAGCCUCAG